AGUGAACGCUGGCGGCAGGCCUAAUACAUGCAAGUCGAACGGCAGCACAGUGGAGCUUGCUCCAUGGGUGGCGAGUGGCGGACGGGUGAGGAAUACAUGGGGAUCUGCCCAGUCGUGGGGAUAACGUAUGGAAACGUACGCUAAUACCGCAUGCGCCCUUCGGGGGAAAGUCGGGGACCGCAAGGCCUGACGCGAUUGGAUGAGCCCAUGUUCGAUUAGCUAGUUGGCGGGUAACGGCCCACCAAGGCGACGAUCGAUAGCUGGUCUGAGAGGAUGAUCAGCCACACUGGAACUGAGACACGGUCCAGACUCCUACGGGAGGCAGCAGUAGGGAAUAUUGGGACAAUGGGCGCAAGCCUGAUCCAGCCAUGCCG
rnacentral:rRNA from 1 species